rnacentral:rRNA from 1 species
UGCAUGCAUGUCGGUGCCGCAGCUAACGCGUGAAGCACUCCGCCUGGGGAGUACGGUCGCAAGAUUAAAACUCCAAAGGAAUUGACGNGGGCCCGCACAAGCGGUGGAGCAUGUGGUUUAAUUCGACGCAACGCGCCAGAACCUUACCAGCCCUUGACAUCCCGCGACCGGCUCAGAGAUGGGCUUUCCCAGCAAUGGGCGCGGAGACAGGUGCUGCAUGGCUGUCGUCAGCUCGUGUCGUGAGAUGUUGGGUUAAGUCCCGCAACGAGCGCAACCCUUGCCUUCAGUUGCCAUCAUUUAGUUGGGCACUUCUGGAGGGACUGCCGGCGGCAAGCCGGAGGAAGGUGGGGAUGACGUCAAGUCCUCAUGGCCCUUACGGGCUGGGCUGCACACGUGCUACAAUGGUGGCGACAGAGGGCACAAGCGAAAGCGCGAGCUCUAGCAAAUCCUCAAAAGCCAUCUCAGUUCAGAUUGCGCUCUGCAACUCGGGCGCAUGAAGGUGGAAUCGCUAGUAAUCGCAGAACAGCAGGCUGCGGUGAAUACGUUCCCGGGCCUUGUACACACCGCCCGUCACANCCAUGGGAGUUGGUUUGACNCUGAAGACGGUGCGCUAACUCAGCAAUGAGAGGCAGCCGGCCACGGUCAGGUCAGCGACUGGGGUGAAGUCGUAACAAGGUACC